rnacentral:rRNA from 1 species
AUUGAACGCUGGCGGCAUGCCUUACACAUGCAAGUCGAACGGUAACAGGUUAAGCUGACGAGUGGCGAACGGGUGAGUAAUGUAUCGGAACGUGCCCAGUCGUGGGGGAUAACUGCUCGAAAGAGCAGCUAAUACCGCAUACGACCUGAGGGUGAAAGCGGGGGAUCGCAAGACCUCGCGCGAUUGGAGCGGCCGAUAUCAGAUUAGGUAGUUGGUGAGGUAAAGGCUCACCAAGCCGACGAUCUGUAGCUGGUCUGAGAGGACAACCAGCCACACUGGGACUGAGACACGGCCCAGACUCCUACGGGAGGCAGCAGUGGGGAAUUUUGGACAAAGGGCGCAAGCCUGAUCCAGCCAUGCCGCGUGCGGGAAGAAGGCCUUCGGGUUGUAAACCGCUUUUGUCAGGGAAGAAAAGGUUCUGGCUAAUACCUGGGACUCAUGACGGUACCUGAAGAAUAGGCACCGGCUAACUACGUG